CCUACGGGUGGCAGCAGUGGGGAAUUUUCGACAAUGGGGGCAACCCUGACCGAGCCACGCCGCGUGAGUGAAGAAGGAAUUCGUUCUGUAAACUUCUGUUGUAAAGGAAGAAAGACGGAUGGAGGAAAUGAACUCCGAGUGACGGUACUUUAUGAGAAAGCCACGGCUAACUACGUGCCAGCAGCCGCGGUAAUACGUAGGUGGCAAGCGUUAUCCGGAAUUAUUGGGCGGAAAGAGGGAGCAGGCGGCAGCAAAGGUCUGUGGUGAAAGACUGAAGCUUAACUUCAGUGAGCAAUAGAAACCGGGCAGCUAGAGUGCAGGAGAGGAGAGUGGAAUUCCAUGUGUAGCGGUGAAAUGCGUAGAUAUAUGGAGGAACACCAGUGGCGAAGGCGACGAUCUGGUCUGUAACUGACGCUCAGGCUCGAAAGCGUGGGGAGCAAACAGGAUUAGAUACCCGUGUAGUC
rnacentral:rRNA from 1 species